rnacentral:misc_RNA from 1 species
UCCGGUUUGUCACCGGCAGUCCCAUUAGAGUGCUCAACUAAAUGUGGCAACUAAUGGCAAGGGUUGCGCUCGUUGCGGGACUUAACCCAACAUCUCACGACACGAGCUGACGACAGCCAUGCAGCACCUGUGUUACGGCUCCCUUUCGGGCACCUCUGCAUCUCUGCAGAGUUCCGUACAUGUCAAGGGUAGGUAAGGUUUUUCGCGUUGCGUCGAAUUGAACCACAUCAUCCACCGCUUGUGCGGGUCCCCGUCAAUUCCUUUGAGUUUUAGCCUUGCGGCCGUACUCCCCAGGCGGGGCACUUAAUGCGUUAGCGCCGGCACGGGGGGAGUCGACACCCCCCAGCACCUAGUACCCAUCGUUUACAGCUAGGACUAC